UCCAAGAAAAAAUGAGCGCGAGUUUACUGAACAGUGCAUUAUUUGCAAGGAUAAAAAGUACAUUUUGACCAAGCAACCAAUGAAAAGAAGGAAUGAAAGAGACUUUCCAUCUGUGAAUACUACUCAGCCUUUUUCAAAGGAAGACAAGUAGAAACUGAUAGAAACACCAAGUAUCAAGAUAGUGAGACUUCAAA